GCCGAAGUGGUGGAAUUGGUAGACACACCAUCUUGAGGGGGUGGCGUCCUAACGGGUGUGCCGGUUCGAAUCCGGCCUUCGGCA
rnacentral:tRNA from 1 species